GAAAACUUAGUUAAAUCAUAACAUUAGAUUGUCAAGCUAAAAUUAUUAAAAGAUAGUUUUCU
rnacentral:tRNA from 1 species